GGCCGAACUUCUCGUCCAUAUUAAGUUGAGUGCCACCUGGGAGGUGCCACUCAAAUGCGUGCACGAGUGUGUCCAAGAUGCACUCAACGAGUGCAAUUCCCAUUCGUAUGCCAGCACACAUUCUUCUUCCAGAUCCAAAUGCGGAUCAUCCCACACAUCAGGGUCGCGUCCGAUGGCCCAUACAUUAACCAACAGCCUCGUGUUUUUGGGUAUGUGGUAUCCCUCCACCUCACAAGCCUCUUGUGAGACCCUUGGGAGGUUCAGCGGCAGUGGUGGGUGCAUCCGAAAUGUUUCCUUGCAUACUGCCUGCAGACGAUCCAAAAUUUGACGGUUGUUUAACAACUCGGAUAGUGCCCACACGAUUGUGAUCGCUGAUGUAUCGGUGCUGGCAAUAAACAAGUUCUAUCCAAAUUAUUGAUCGUACGGUCAAACUUAUCAAUUCAAGAAAAAUUAACAAUGAUAUAUGUGCAUAUAUAUGAAUGAAAAAAAAAUAUUUAUUAAACUAUAAUCGAUCAUAUAUAUAUAUAUAUAUGUAGAUUACCUACCAAGAGAAGCGCUUUAAUGUUGGUGAAAGUGUGCUUUGAACCAUCAUCGCACUCCCGGUUCGCCAUUACAACAUCAAUAAAGUCUGGAUUUCGGGUU